CAAAAGCCAAGUCAGCCUUGGUGGCGCAGUGGUUAGAGGGCUAUACUGUAGGCCACUUCUGACUAUCGGCUGCCUGCAAUUUGGCAGUUCAAAUCCCACCAGGAUCAAGGUUGACUCAGCCUUCCAUCCUUCCGAGGUGGGUAAAAUGA